rnacentral:tRNA from 1 species
AAAUAUGAAGCAAUAAUGCAUUUAAUUUCGACUUAAAAAAUUGAGUUAUUAAAACUCCUUAUUUA